UGCCGCGUGAGUGAUGAAGGUUUUCGGAUCGUAAAGCUCUGUUGCCAGGGAAGAACGCUUGGGAGAGUAACUGCUCUCGAGGUGACGGUACCUGAGAAGAAAGCCCCGGCUAACUACGUGCCACCAGCCGCGGUAAUACGUACGGGGCAAGCGUUGUCCGGAAUUAUUGGGCGUAAAGCGCGCGCAGGCGGUCAUGUAAGUCUGGUGUUUAAUCCCGGGGCUCAACCCCGGAUCUCACUGGAGACUGCGUGACUUGAGUGCAAAAUAAGAGAGUGGAAUUCCGCGUGUAGCGAUGAAAUGCGUAUAGAUGUGGAGGAACACCGGUGGCGAAGGCGACUCUCUGGGCUGUGACUGACACUGAGGCGCGAAAGCGUGGGGAACAAACAGGAAUACAUACCCUGGUAAUCCACGCCGUAAACGAUGAGUGCUAGGUGUUAGGGGUUUCGAUACCCUUGGUGCCGAAUUUAACACAUUAAGCACUCCGCCGGGGGAGUACGGUCGCAAGACUGAAACUCAAAGGAAUUGACGGGGACCCGCACAACCAGUGGAGUAUGUGGUUUAAUUCGAAGCAACCCUAACAACCUUACCAUGUCUUGACAUCCGACUAAAGACGCA
rnacentral:rRNA from 1 species